AAAUACAGAGAAGCAAAUGAGAGUUCAUCGUAAACACAGCAAACCAAAUCAAGAAAACAAAGCAAAUAUGGUUAUUCAUUUCAAAUGGUGGAAUCAGAAUAUCAAUAAGCAAAAACUGGUACAUGGUUUGAUUCACGUUUGAGUUAUAUGUUCCUCAUUUUCCACUAUUCCAUCAAACCAAAACAAACAAUAAAAACUCAAACAAAACUUUUGAAAAGCGGCGAAGUCAGAGAUGUUAAAUAUGCCUCAAACAGUUUUAAGCUCAUAAUGAGGAAAUUACCCCUCAUUCGCACAUCUAAUUGGUUCAUCAUUCUCGCCGUUUCAUUGCAAAACCAAUAAAAACAAUGUAUCCUACCCGAUUAUAUAGAACGAGAUACUAAAUGAACGAAAUUAAAAUCUGAAAAUCCUCAAACGCAAAGAUCUCUAGCAGAUAAAAGAGAUAAACACUUAUAUCUGAAGAGUCAGCGAGAGAGGACC